rnacentral:misc_RNA from 1 species
GUCCGUAAAAUCCCAACACAAAAAACAAAAAAAAUCAUUCCACUUACAAUAUGAAGCGUGAAAACCCUUUUUAACGUGCUAUGUAUAACGAAACGACACAAAAGUAUGUCGCGUGCCAUUUGCCCUUUGAUCUCAUGACUGAAGCUGAUUUCCCAGCAGAAGAAAACCAAAUUCACAAAUUUCCAAAGAAAAAUACAAUUAACAAAUAAGGAAACAGCAAGAAAUACACAACCAGGAUUAAAAUUUCAUUUCCUUUCUCCUUUUUAGCCAGAAUUCAGAUUCUUAUGUUGUUGCAAGUUUUAGUUCCCUGAUAAGACCAGGGCCACAAAGAAAUGGGUAAAUUUCCAAUUUUUCACCUUUUUUUU